rnacentral:rRNA from 1 species
UCAGGAUGAACGCUGGCGGCGUGCUUAACACAUGCAGUCGAACGAUGAUCCCAGCUUGCUGGGGGAUUAGUGGCGAACGGGUGAGUAACACGUGAGUAACCUGCCCUUAACUCUGGGAUAAGCCUGGGAAACUGGGUCUAAUACCGGAUAUGACUCCUCAUCGCAUGGUGGGGGGUGGAAAGCUUUUUGUGGUUUUGGAUGGACUCGCGGCCUAUCAGCUUGUUGGUGAGGUAAUGGCUCACCAAGGCGACGACGGGUAGCCGGCCUGAGAGGGUGACCGGCCACACUGGGACUGAGACACGGCCCAGACUCCUANGGGAGGCAGCAGUGGGGAAUAUUGCACAAUGGGCGAAAGCCUGAUGCAGCGACGCCGCGUGAGGGANGACGGCCUUCGGGUUGUAAACCUCUUUCAGUAGGGAAGAAGCGAAAGUGACGGUACCUGCAG